rnacentral:rRNA from 1 species
GAUGAACGCUGGCGGCGUGCCUAAUACAUGCGAGUCGAGCGAACAGACGAGGAGCUUGCUCCUCUGAUGUUAGCGGCGGACGGGUGAGUAACACGUGGAUAACCUACCUAUAAGACUGGGAUAACUUCGGGAAACCGGAGCUAAUACCGGAUAAUAUAUUGAACCGCAUGGUUCAAUAGUGAAAGACGGUCUUGCUGUCACUUAUAGAUGGAUCCGCGCCGCAUUAGCUAGUUGGUAAGGUAACGGCUUACCAAGGCGACGAUGCAUAGCCGACCUGAGAGGGUGAUCGGCCACACUGGAACUGAGACACGGUCCAGACUCCUACGGGAGGCAGCAGUAGGGAAUCUUCCGCAAUGGGCGAAAGCCUGACGGAGCAACGCCGCGUGAGUGAUGAAGGUCUUCGGAUCGUAAAACUCUGUUAUUAGGGAAGAACAAAUGUGUAAGUAACUGUGCACAUCUUGACGGUACCUAAUCAGAAAGCCACGGCUAACUACGUG